GUGUGGGCCGGGCAGCCAUUUUGGGAAGAGCUUUGUUAUGGUUGUGGGCUCUCCACCUUUGCGGGAUCAGGAAGCUGGGGACGCGCCCUCAGACGCCGCGUAUGCUCCCUAUCUGUAGCCCCGCUACUGCCGGUGAUAGAUUCCUGUGGCCUUUAAAUGAUUGAAAAAUGAUGGAAAUGGAUCCAAAAUAAAAAGUGACUACUCUACUGAAGCAGUAGAAGAUUCUUCAUAGUACCCUCCAGCUCAGUUCAGUCUUCAGGAGAGGCAGAACAAGUGAAAUACAGCAAACUGAAGAGAGAAAAACCUCAGCGUUGGAACUGUUUUACUCCUUAACUACUCCUUAACUUCUUUCCUUCUGCUUGUUUUAAUUUUGCUGUGAAUUUAUAAAUAGUGAAGACCAAAGAAAUAGAAGAUACAUUUGGGAGCUUUAUAUAACAAAGAAAUUUGCCUUGAGAGCUGCUAUUCUUUAGAGGGAAACAUAUAUCAAGUUCUUGUCUGAUUAAAAACAAACAAGAUUUCUUAUGCCCUUAGAUUUUGAAUAUUAAAACAGAUAUAAAUAUCUGCAUACUUUUUAGCAGCUGUGUAGGAAUAAUGAGAUUUGUAAAUUAAGGACUUUGUCAUGUGGAUGUUUUGCCUUUAGAAUUGAUUGUUCAGAAGAUCUUUUAUAACUCUUUAAUGUUAUAUUUUUGACUAUUGCUUUGAUGGCAUUAUUUGCCCACACAUGAGUUAACCUGUCUUUCUAGCUAUGACCUUGUUAUGAACAGUGUUUGCACUCAAUGUGCAGAUGUCCAUGUAUUAUCUAUUUAAACAACAUCAUAGUGCCGUCACUCAAGGAAGUUGAAUGAGGUGAACGUAGACACAGCUCUUUCCCCUUCCCCCCAUUUUUUAAAUGUAACAAAUACUUUUUAUGUUCCCCUUCCCCCUUCCCCUUUCCCUUUCCCCUUUUUGGAAACGUGUCAGGAAUUAGAUAGUUAAAGAUGAGCAAUUGAGGGGACUGAGAGCGAUCCACACAGAGUCUGGCUUCCUUGUGCUUUAUCACAAGGCGUGCUGCUGGCCAGCCUAUUUAAGCACCCUUUUAACAAGACAACCUCGUGGGAAAUCCAGCUGACAGACUCAAGGAGUUUGGGAAACAGGACCACAGAGGUUACACUCUGGGAUCCUGGCCAUGAGGUUGGAUGCCUCACCUUGCUGAAAAGAGACACUGGACCUAAAUGGCGCAGCAUGACUUUGUUCCUGCUUGGCUAAAUUUCUCAACACCACAGUCAGCUAAGUCACCUACAGCCACCUUCGAAAAACACGGAGAACACCUACCCCGAGGAGACCGUAGAUUUGGAGUAAGCCGUCGUCGACAUAAUUCCUCUGAUGGCUUUUUUAACAAUGGACCUCUACGAACUACAGGAGAUUCCUGGCACCAGCCCUCCCUGUUCCGCCACGAUUCUGUGGACUCUGGUGUCUCUAAGGGAACAUAUGCUGGAAUCACAGGGAAUCUAUCUGGUUGGCAUGGCUCCUCCCGAGGUCAUGAUGGCAUGAGCCAGCGUAGUGGGGGUGGCACAGGGAACCAUCGCCACUGGAAUGGCAGCUUCCACUCCCGGAAAGGCUGUGCCUUUCAGGAGAAGCCACCUACAGAGAUUAGAGAAGAAAAGAAAGAAGACAAGGUGGAAAAAUUACAAUUCGAAGAGGAAGACUUUCCUUCUUUGAAUCCAGAAGCUGGCAAACAGAAUCAGCCAUGCAGACCUAUUGGGACCCCUUCUGGAGUGUGGGAAAACCCACCUAGUGCCAAGCAACCUUCCAAAAUGCUAGUCAUCAAAAAAGUUUCCAAAGAAGAUCCUUCUGCUGCCUUCUCUGCUGCAUUCACCUCACCAGGAUCUCACCAUGCAAAUGGGAACAAAUCGUCAACCAUGGUUCCAAGUGUCUAUAAGAACCUGGUUCCUAAGCCUGCACCACCACCUUCCAAGCCCAGUGCAUGGAAAGCUAACAGAAUGGAACACAAAUCAGGAUCCCUUUCCUCGAGCCGGGAGUCUGCUUUUACCAGUCCAAUCUCUGUUACCAAACCAGUAGUACUGGCUGGUGGUGCAGUUUUAAGCUCUCCUAAAGAGAGUCCCUCCAGCACUACUCCUCCAAUUGAGAUCAGCUCCUCUCGCCUGACCAAGCUGACCCGCCGAACUACCGACAGGAAGAGUGAGUUCCUGAAGACUCUGAAGGAUGACCGGAAUGGAGACUUUUCAGAGAACAGAGACUGUGACAAGCUGGAGGAUUUGGAGGACAACAGCACACCAGAACCAAAGGAAAAUGGAGAGGAAGGCUGUCAUCAAAAUGGUCUUAGUCUCCCUGUAGAGGAGGAAGGGGAAGUCCUCUCACAUUCUCUGGAAGCAGAGCACAGCCCUUGUGCUCUGGAAAGAGCAACUGUGGAGAUCCCUCAUUUAAUUCAAGCACCUAAGUUGCCAUAAUUAAAGUUUACCCCGCUGGGGAGGAAAGAAAAAUCCAAGUGGGUACCAUUGCCCCUAGACAAGUAAGUUUUUUCUGAAAAGUUGUGGGCUUCCCACUUACGCUUAAAGGUGUCAUGUUUUUUUGUUUUUUUUGUUUUGUUUUGUUUUUGUUUUGCCUUACCUCCCUCUACAAGGUUAUUGAAAGCAAUGGGAUGGCAAGAGUAUCCUGAAAAUGAUGAGAAUUGCCUCCCCCUCACAGAGGAUGAGCUCAGAGAGUUCCACAUGAAGACAGAGCAGCUGAGAAGAAAUGGCUUUGGGAAGAAUGGCUUUUUGCAGAGCCGCAGUUCCAGCCUGUUUUCCCCAUGGAGAAGCACUUGUAAAGCAGAGUUUGAGGACUCAGACACGGAAACCAGUAGCAGUGAAACAUCAGAUGACGAUGCCUGGAAGUAGGCAUAUAAAUGUUCACAAAUCUGACCCAGGAAACUCAGCUUGUGUGUUUAGAGAGUAUACAAAAGAAAUUGUUCUUUUCCUUUUCUUAUGUUGUUGUUGAAUACUUAUGCACAAGGGAAAUAAUCAUAUCCCAAAGAGAGAGCAAUUGGCUUGUUUAGCUUUUGUUGUUGUUCUUCCCUGUUAUCUGCUUAAUAGAGAGAAGUUUGUGUGAUGGGAAAAAUUUUUUAAAUACACACACACAGACACAGUAUAUAUGGGGCGAUGCACAGGUGGGAGCUGGCAGUGCAGAGAGGAGGAGACACCGGUCUGCAGCAACAGCUUCUACUACCAGCCCUUGGGGCACUCACCCCUGUGCUCAAGCAAUCAUUGUCAAUGACAAAGUGACUAUUGAAGUUAUAAUUGUAUUAAAUUAAUGCUAAUAAUUUGGAUAUUUUAUUUUAUUUUUGGCUGCUCGGGUAACGAUAGCCCUUAACCAAGCAUACAUGGUUUUCUUUUUCUUUUUCUUUUUCUUUUUCCUUUUUGGGUACAGCUGUAAAAUAUUUGGAUAUAGGAAAUGUGUUAUUCUUGCAGCCUUGAUAUUCAGGGUGGAUUGUAAAAUAUAAAUUUUUGUGAGAUUUCAAAGAUUAAGAUUAUUUUGAUAACAUUAUUUACAGAUUUAAAAGAUGUGGUUAUCACAAGUCUGUUGAGGGGGAAAACUACUGCAUAAAAUAACUAACUUGGAAUAAAUAUUUUGCAUCAGUUUGGA